rnacentral:rRNA from 1 species
ACGGGAGGCAGCAGUGGGGAAUAUUGGGCAAUGGGGGAAGCCCUGACCCAGCAACGCCGCGUGAAGGAAGAAGGCCUUCGGGUUGUAAACUUCUUUUAGUAGGGACGAAAAACGACGGUACCUACAGAAAAAGCAACGGCUAACUACGUGCCAGCAGCCGCGGUAAUACGUAGGUUGCAAGCGUUGUCCGGAUUUACUGGGUGUAAAGGGCGUGUAGGCGGAGCUGCAAGUCAGAUGUGAAAUCCCGGGGCUUAACCCCGGAACUGCAUUUGAAACUGUUGAUCUUGAGUAUCGGAGAGGCAAUCGGAAUUCCUUGUGUAGCGGUGAAAUGCGUAGAUAUAAGGAGGAACACCAGUGGCGAAGGCGGAUUGCUGGACGACAACUGACGGUGAGGCGCGAAAGCGUGGGGAGCAAACAGGAUUAGAUACCCUGGUA